UUACGAAAACUUGGCAAUGCGGGGGAACCGCGACCAGGGGACUCCAAGUGCUAAUACUUAGUAUUAGCUGUUCUUCUGUCUAAAAAACAGGAGAAGUAAGGGCUGGGUAAGACGGGUGCCAGCCGCCGCGGUAAUACCCGCAGCCCAAGUGGUGGUCAUUAUUAUUGAGCCUAAAGCGUCCGUAGCCGGACUCGUAAAUCCUUGGGUAAAUCGGGCAGCUUAACUGUCCGAAUUCCGAGGAGACUGCGAGUCUUGGGACCGGGAGAGGUCAGAGGUACUCCAGGGGUAAGGGCUAAAUCUUGUAAUCCUUGGGGGGACCACCAGUGGCGAAGGCGUCUGACUAGAACGGAUCCGACGGUAAGGGACGAAACCCUGGGGCGCAAACGGGAUUAGAUACCCCGGUAGUCCAGGGCUUAAACGCUGCAGAUUUGGUGUCGGGGUCCUACGUGGGCACCCGGUGCCGGAGAGAAGUUGUUAAAUCUGCCGCUUGGGGAGUACGGUCGCAAGACUGAAACUUAAAGGAAUUGGGCGGGAGAGCACCGCAACGGGAGGAGCGUGCGGUUCAAUUGGAUUCAAC
rnacentral:rRNA from 1 species